rnacentral:misc_RNA from 1 species
GAUGAAGAACGUAGCGAAAUGCGAUAAGUAAUGUGAAUUGCAGAAUUCAGUGAAUCAUCGAAUCUUUGAACGCAUCUUGCGCUCCUUGGUAUUCCGAGGAGCAUGCCUGUUUGAGUGUCAUUAUAACCCCUCAAGCUCAGCUUGGUGUUGGGGCCUGCUGCACUGGCAGCCCUUAAAAUCAGUGGCGGCGCCAUCUGGCUCUAAGCGUAGUAAUUCUUCUCGCUAUGGAGUCCUGGUGGAUGCUUGCCAUCAACCCCCAAUUUUUCUAUGGUUGACCUCGGAUCAGGUAGGGAUACCCGCUGAACUUAAGCAUAUCAAUAAGCGGAGGA